rnacentral:rRNA from 1 species
ACGGAGGAUCCGAGCGUUAUCCGGAUUUAUUGGGUUUAAAGGGUGCGUAGGCGGAAUAGCAAGUCAGUGGUGAAAGUUUGCAGCUUAACUGUAAAAUUGCCAUUGAAACUGCUGUUCUUGAGUACAGUAGAGGUAGGCGGAAUGUGUAGUGUAGCGGUGAAAUGCAUAGAUUUUACUCAGAACGCCGAUUGCGUAGGCAUCUUACUGGUGUGUAACUGGCGCUUAGGCACUAUAUUGUUGGGAUCUAUCAG